rnacentral:lncRNA from 1 species
GCUUUCUUUGUAUAUAACGUGUCAAGCCAAGUCCAUACCAACGAAGAUUCACGAUUUAGCCGUUCUCAACGGGGUCAAAAUUAUCCACCACGCACACCACCGUGGUUUCAAACAGAACCGCCAUCCAAGACUUUCUUUUGCCCUCCCGAACGGUUACGUAACGUACAAUAACUUCACCUUUUCUCUUCCUUGUUCUUCAUUUUUUUUUUAACUCUAACAUUAUUUACACUUCAUUUCAAAAAAAAUCAUGCGCCAGUUUUUUCAAUCUUUAAAUAAAAAAUAUAUCAUAUGUAUGGAUAUUAUAACAUCUGAUUUUUUUUUAAUUAUAAAUGUCAUAGAACAGAAAAAUUAAUUAUUCCCUGCUUGUUUAGCUAGGAUUAAUUUUUAACUAUAUAUGAUACAGAUUGGACGAUAUUCGUCUCCAAUUUAAUAUGGCUG